AACCAAGGUGAUUCCCUCUCCAAGGGGCCUAAUUGUGCCCCUCUUCAGGAAAGUAGCAACUUGGAAUAAAAUCUGGCAUGCCUUAGCUUCUGAGGGCACAAGGUCAUGUGUCAUUUCCUUUGCCUGCCUUUGGCUGCCUACAUGU